rnacentral:rRNA from 1 species
AACUCUGUUGUUAGGGAAGAACAAGUGCUAGUUGAAUAAGCUGGCACCUUGACGGUACCUAACCAGAAAGCCACGGCUAACUACGUGCCAGCAGCCGCGGUAAUACGUAGGUGGCAAGCGUUAUCCGGAAUUAUUGGGCGUAAAGCGCGCGCAGGUGGUUUCUUAAGUCUGAUGUGAAAGCCCACGGCUCAACCGUGGAGGGUCAUUGGAAACUGGGAGACUUGAGUGCAGAAGAGGAAAGUGGAAUUCCAUGUGUAGCGGUGAAAUGCGUAGAGAUAUGGAGGAACACCAGUGGCGAAGGCGACUUUCUGGUCUGUAACUGACNCUGAGGCGCGAAAGCGUGGGGAGCAAACAGGAUUAGAUACCCUGGUAGUCA